UACGGAGGGGACUAGCGUUGUUCGGAAUUACUGGGCGUAAAGCGCACGUAGGCGGAUUUGUAAGUCAGGGGUGAAAUCCCGGGGCUCAACCUCGGAACUGCCUUUGAUACUGCAAAUCUCGAGUCCGGAAGAGGUGAGUGGAAUUCCUAGUGUAGAGGUGAAAUUCGUAGAUAUUAGGAAGAACACCGAUUGCGAAGGCAGCUCGCUGGGACGUCACUGACGCUGAGACGCGAAAGCGUGGGGAGCAAACAGG
rnacentral:rRNA from 1 species